rnacentral:rRNA from 1 species
CUACGGGAUGCACCAGUGAGGAAUAUUGCACAAUGGGGGGAACCCUGAUGCAGCAACGCCGCGUGGAGGAUGACGCAUUUCGGUGUGUAAACUCCUUUUAUAUGUCAAGAAAAUGACGGUAGCAUAUGAAUAAGCACCGGCUAACUCCGUGCCGGCAGCCGCGGUAAUACGGAGGGUGCAAGCGUUACUCGGAAUCACUGGGCGUAAAGGACGCGUAGGCGGGUUGGAAAGUCAGGUGUGAAAUCCUACAGCUUAACUGUAGAACUGCACUUGAAACUUCUAAUCUAGAGUAUGGGAGGGGGAGAUGGAAUUAGUGGUGUAGGGGUAAAAUCCGUAGAUAUCACUAGGAAUACCUAAAGCGAAGGCGAUCUCCUGGAACAUUACUGACGCUAAGGCGUGAAAGCGUGGGGAGCAAACAGGAGUAGAUACCCCAGUAGUC